UACGUAGGGUGCGAGCGUUGUCCGGAAUUAUUGGGCGUAAAGGGCUCGUAGGCGGUUUGUCGCGUCGGGAGUGAAAUCCACUGGCUUAACUGGUGGCUUGCUUUCGAUACGGGCAGACUGGAGGUAUGCAGGGGAGAACGGAAUUCCUGGUGUAGCGGUGAAAUGCGCAGAUAUCAGGAGGAACACCGGUGGUGUAAACGGCUUUCUGGACCAUAACUGACGCUGAGGCACGAAAGCGUGGGUAGCAAACAGG
rnacentral:rRNA from 1 species